UGUGCUUCGCUUUUACAAGCACGACUCUCGCUCCAUCUUCUCAUUCUGCCGCACGCGCCUUCGCCACUGCCACAUCAGCACACCCUGUUCACAUCCUAAGCGCCUGCCACACGCACUUCUCUCAAAAAGCGAACCGAUAAGCGGUCAAGCAAGGAUCUUGUCAGCUCUUCCUCCGCGCGUACUCUGCAACGAACGAAACAAAAUGCCGUCUGGAAAUGGAUGUCGUGCCAAUCAGCGCCGUGAGCGCGAGAUGAAGAAGGCGCAGAGCGCCGGCGUCAAGCACACUUCCGAGGACAUGAAGAAGCACGAGCAGAGCAAGAACGCCAUUCAAUGCAAGGUUUGCCUUCAGGGCUUCCCCCGCACGGUGCGCCGCCCGGAGCUGGAGCAGCACUUCGAGAAGCACGCAAAAAUAGGCAAGUGCUUCGAGGAGGUGUUUCCCGACUUUACGGAGUAAAAUGGAAAGAAGCAAACAAAAACGAAGGUAGUCUGUAAAAGUGUACGCCUUCCCACAAAAAACAACGACGACCAAGUCAGCAACGAAAGAAAGAAAACGCAUGCGCCACCGGAGCGCAUCUACCGCUGCUGCGCCACAGCUGCGUCAUCUGGUUGUGUGGGACGAAGCGUCCAGCCGUGGCAUCGGGGCCAUGCGUCCAAUGGGCUCUUUCCGCCCUUUCCUCGUCCCUUCCUCGGAUACGUGCUGAACGGCCCGCGCCAGACGGGCUUGGGUGGACUGCAUACCUUGAUUCCAGCGGGCAGCGUCCAGGGUUUCAUUCGAGGGCAGCAAGCCGUGGCGUCUGUCGUGCGGGAUAGCAGAGGGUGGUGGUCUCUCGAUGCAUGUCGCAUGAGCUCAAGGAGGAUCAUGGCCAGCUACAGGUCAGGGCCCUCUGAGACCUUGCACACCCUGCCUCUGUGCCAUGCUUCGGCCUCAGUCGCCUCAAGCUACGGCAUCCCAUAAUAUGUUGUGGUGCCUCUCCACAUGGGAGUCUGGUGUACUG
rnacentral:misc_RNA from 1 species